rnacentral:rRNA from 1 species
UACGAAGGGGGCUAGCGUUGCUCGGAAUUACUGGGCGUAAAGGGAGCGUAGGCGGAUAGUUAAGUCAGAGGUGAAAGCCCAGGGCUCAACCUUGGAAUUGCCUUUGAUACUGGCUAUCUUGAGUAUGGGAGAGGUGUGUGGAACUCCGAGUGUAGAGGUGAAAUUCGUAGAUAUUCGGAAGAACACCAGUGGCGAAGGCGACACACUGGCC